UUUCACAGGAGAUUGAAUAGGUUUAUUUACAAGAUGGCUUUUUACAAACAACCAAAGUACAGAAUAAAUAAGAGUAUAACCAGCAUAGCACAGACUGAUCCAUUCAAAUCAAACACAUAUUAAGUGAUAUGCACUCAUUCCAUUAAAGGGAUGAACACUGCAUUUGGCAAGCUGUGUUAAGUGAGGAAGUGGUGUAUGGUCAAGUUAAGCAAACCUUUGUACACUGCCAAAUAAAUCUUACAGUUGCACGUCUUGUAAAUAAAAUAGCAGCUAGAUUUUUAGUUUUUCCACAUAUUUACACACAUUUCAUUAAAUACUUUAUAGACAUUCACGAAGGUGACAAUUAAGCCAUGUGUGGUUUUGCUGUAACUUUAUUGCUUCAUAGAACGGUUAUGUCACAAGGGUAGGCAUGACUACCUCAAAGGAAAGGGAUCUGAAAACAGAAAUUGAAGCAGAAGGCAAGACAAGUAGAAGAAAUAUGUACACAUCUAUUUUAUAUAGUUGCUCUCCCUUUGGCAUUUAAUGCGUUAAGUGUAAAGUGUUGAUACCAGGACAUUGCCCUAUAGACUAUGCUGCGUAGUCUGCACUGAUCGCCACCAUGGAGACUUCAGAUUUUUGCAGUGUAAAGGCUGAAUAUGGGAAGAUAUAAUACAAUAUCUGCAGUGGCAAGGUUAGCCAUUAUUGUAGUCAAAGAUGCUCUAAUGGACUAUUUUUUCCACCUUGGAUAAUCACUAAAUAGAAUGAGUUGUUUAACCCCCUUAAGGACACAUGACGGAAACAUUCCGUCAUGAUUCCCUUUUAUUCCAGAAGUUGUGUCCUUUAAUAAAUAAAGGGUCUCUUGGAAGAGAAUGUAAAUAGCUGACUGGUGUUACAGGUAGACUGAAGGGCACAUUUAACAUCAUAUAACAAUUGCACUAAAUACAGCUGCAGUUAAAGUUGUACCAGAAAAUAGUUGGCUUAAAUUUGGGUCUAAAAUGAGAAUAAAAUGAGAACCAUUAAAAGGCACACUCCAAACACCAUAUCCACUACAGAUUGCGGUAGUGUUCACGGUGCCAGCCGGGUCCUGGUGCCACCCCAUAUAUAAAGUAGUCCAACAGUUUGGCAAGAGAUCAUUUAAUGCUGUAACUGAAUAAACUCUACAUAUUGCACAGUGCUUACCAAGUGUUUCACACAUUUAUUGCAUAAGCUUAUUUCAUAACAAAACAUGUUCACAAGGAGGGGGUGGGGAUACACCACUUUCUCCAACAGAGAAUAAGAGGGAAGAAAAUAAACCAAAACCAAACCGAAUCUAAUAAAAAAAAUAAAAAAUAGAUGUCACCAUAUUCUGUGUCGUAGUCCAUCUUUAGUUCAUUCAGGAUUUCAAAGCAACUACCACCAAUCAGGUUCUGAUGUAGCAAUCUACUUCAUUCUAAAUUAUAAGUGCAAUGCUACAUACAAGAACUAGGAAUUACAUUUUUUAAUUUUUUUUUAAAUGGCGACAUGUUGGAGGAAAGGUGGUGGUGGGGGGGUUGAAGGGAGGAUACAUGUAAAGUGUUCAAAAUUGACAAUCCAGAGACCUCCAGUGGAAAUCGCCUUACAAAUCACUUCUGUGCAAACCUUGUCUGGUAUUUCAAGAAGGAUUAGACAAAUUGUUUUUAUUGUGCCACUGUGUUCUAAUGUUAAGCCGACCAUAGCAUGCAGUCUAUCAUGUUUUGCAGGAACUUGCUGGGGGGGGGGUAGGGGGCGAGGGAUAAAAUGAGGUGAUAAUUCAAGAUUGCUGAUCUAUUAAACAAGGCACAUUAUGCUAGCUUUUUAAAACUUCAAGAGUUCCCUUCCUCUUUAAACUUCAUAUAUUGGCACAAAUCUAAAAUAAAGACCAGUAGAAAAAGCCAAUAAUGCACACUGACCACCAGCCUCUUUCCAGAAUUACAGAGAGUACAUACCGAGAGCCAUACAGAGUAAUGGUCUGAAACUAUGGAGGUAACCAGUAAAAGUGUCCUGUCUAAACAAGUUGCUAUGCUCCAUCAAUGAUUUUCCAGCAGUCAGCCUUGGACUAUAAGUGUACAUGCAGAUGUUAAAACACCAGUCUUUUUAGAUGUUUGGUGGAGGGGCAAAGAAAACAGAAUUUGGGGCACAGUGCCUUAAUGUUCUCAUACACACCUUAAGUAUAUAGUGCUAUACAUGGCAAAAGAGCCCUUAGAUGGCAGUUUAUAUAGUGAUUCAAUGGCCUCAUUUAUAUUCUAGACAGCUAGGACUUCACAGGAUCUAGAUUAUAAAAUAGGACUAAAUAUCUAAAAAAAAAAUUCUCUAUUUAAAAGUCUAAAGAAACAGAUCUUUAAAAAAAAAUAAAAAAAAAAAUUAUCCAACAAUAUAAAGUUCAGAUCUCUAUACUAGCUUUAUCGAGAAAAAAAAAAUAAUUAAAAAUCUAGUCACCAGAGUGAGCAAAUGGUUCACUCCUUAACAAGGCAAAAAAUACUUUGCUGAUUGCAUCAAAUAAAGGAAGUGGGACAGCAAUAAUUCUGGAGAAAGCCUUCCUUCAGACGCUUGCUUAAUGUGUCGAAGAAAUACAUCUAAAGUGAAAGCAAUGCUAUAAAAUCGGAAGAAAAACAAAACAUGGAAUCUUAAUGUUGGUUCUUUCAUGCAAGUAAUGUUCCAAAGCCAUAUAUAAAAAAAAUAUAUAAAUAAAACACUCAACACCCUACCAGUGAAUAAACUUGCACCAUUCAAAAUUGAAACUAGUUUCCUCAACAACUUGCUCAUUUCUUCUUCUUCACGCUGGGGGCAUAGGGGACAAAUUUUCC
rnacentral:lncRNA from 1 species